GGUGAGGGUUAUCCUGGUCCGCUCCUGGGAGGCUACCCUGCAGUGGCGUUGGUAAACAUUCCGGCGGCAGGUGCAGUUGCCGAGCCAAUAUGGCAGAUACCACAUGCUCCGUCUAUCACAGCAGCAGGAAAACGGACAUCAUAUCUAGGCUAGAUAGACUUUUCAACGACUUCUGGUGGAAACUGACACACCAUAGGAGACAGUCUGCUCCGCGGGAACACAGCGACCAUUCACCCUCUGCUCUCACAUCCCCGUCGUAGCCCUUUUGGGGGGUCAGAACAUGGAGGUGGAGAGAGCGACUUCCCCCGCCUAAGUGCAGGCUGAAGCAAAGACGAGGCACACUAUGACUCAAUACUGAGACUCUCCUGGAAUUUAGGAUGUCAAAGAGAAUCGGUAGAGCACCGCGGAUCCUAUUUCGCCUGCCUUUGGUUUAGAGAGGAAGCCUCAGGAGAGGAAGCCUUCGGUUUUUAGAGAGGAAGCCUCAGGAGUCUCUCUGUGCUGUAGGACCAAGCUCUGCCUCUUAAUGGCAUAGGCUGAGAUGGGCAGUGUGGCGGGACUCCUAAGGGCUCAUUGUCACUCACCUUACUCUGUGGCAUAGCUUACGCAGUGAUUCUUCUCACAUUGCUUUUGUUGCUGUGUCCCCUGCUGGAAUUUUUCUAUUAUAUCGUUAUAGCUUUU